AGAAUCCAUCUGGGGUCGGCCAGCUCCCAGGCUGCACGAGGUGUACACAGAAAACCCAAAACAAAGUUGGCAAA
ensembl:misc_RNA